AUUGAACGCUGGCGGCAUGCCUUACACAUGCAAGUCGAACGGUAACGAGUCCUUCGGGAUGCCGACGAGUGGCGAACGGGUGAGUAAUAUAUCGGAACGUGCCCAGUAGUGGGGGAUAACUGCUCGAAAGAGCAGCUAAUACCGCAUACGACCUGAGGGUGAAAGGGGGGGAUCGCAAGACCUCUCGCUAUUGGAGCGGCCGAUAUCAGAUUAGCUAGUUGGUGGGGUAAAGGCCUACCAAGGCAACGAUCUGUAGUUGGUCUGAGAGGACGACCAGCCACACUGGGACUGAGACACGGCCCAGACUCCUACGGGAGGCAGCAGUGAGGAAUUUUGGACAAUGGGCGCAAGCCUGAUCCAGCAAUGCCGCGUGCAGGAAGAAGGCCUUCGGGUUGUAAACUGCUUUUGUCAGGGAAGAAAUCUUCUGGGCUAAUACCCCGGGAGGAUGACGGUACCUGAAGAAUAAGCACCGGCUAACUACGUGCCAGCAGCCGCCGCCG
rnacentral:rRNA from 1 species